rnacentral:rRNA from 1 species
GAUGAACGCUAGCGGCGGGCUUAAUACAUGCAAGUCGAGGGGUGGUAGCAAUACUACACCGGCGCACGGGUGCGUAACGCGUAUGCAAUCUACCUUUAUCUGGGGGAUAGCCCGGGGAAACCCGGAUUAAUACCGCAUAACAAAUUUCUUGGCAUCAAGAGAUUUUAAAAGAUUUAUCGGAUAGAGAUGAGCAUGCGUAAGAUUAGAUAGUUGGCGAGGUAACGGCUCACCAAGUCUACGAUCUUUAGGGGCUCUGAGAGGAGAAUCCCCCACACUGGCACUGAGAUACGGGCCAGACUCCUACGGGAGGCAGCAGUAGGGAAUAUUGGGCAAUGGGCGCAAGCCUGACCCAGCCACGCCGCGUGCAGGAAGAAGGCCCUCUGGGUUGUAAACUGCUUUUGACUGGGAAGAAAAGACUCAUUGCGAGGAGAGUUGACGGUACCAGCAGAAUAAGCCACGGCUAACUACGUGCCAGCCGCCGCAGUAACAC